AUAAUACUCCCUCUGUCCAGAAUUACUUGUCAUCAAAAUGGAUGUGUCUAGAACUAAAAUACAUCUAGAUACAUCUAUUUCAAUGACAAGUAUUUUUGGACGGAGGGAGUAGUAG
rnacentral:pre_miRNA from 1 species